rnacentral:rRNA from 1 species
GACGAACGCUGGCGGCGUGCUUAACACAUGCAAGUCGAACGAUGAAGCUGGAGCUUGCUCCGGUGGAUUAGUGGCGAACGGGUGAGUAACACGUGAGCAAUCUGCCCUUGACUCUGGGAUAACUACGGGAAACUGUAGCUAAUACCGGAUACUUUCACUGGAAGGCAUCUUCUGGUGAAGACAGACUUUCGGUCAAGGAUGAGCUCGCGGCCUAUCAGCUUGUUGGUGAGGUAACGGCUCCACAAGGCGACGACGGGUAGCCGGCCUGAGAGGGUGACCGGCCACACUGGGGCUGAGACACGGCCCAGACUCCUACGGGAGGCAGCAGUGGGGAAUAUUGCACAAUGGGCGCAAGCCUGAUGCAGCAACGCCGCGUGAGGGAUGAAGGCCUUCGGGUUGUAAACCUCUUUUAGCAGGGAAGAAGCGAAAGUGACGGUACCUGCAGAAAAAGCACCGGCUAACUACGUGCCAGCAGCCGCCGCGG